rnacentral:rRNA from 1 species
UACGGAGGGUGCAAGCGUUGCUCGGAAUUAUUGGGCGUAAAGGGUAGGUAGGUGGUCUCAUUUGUCUGGGGUGAAAUCCUUGAGCUUAACUCAAGAAGUGCCUCAGAAACGGUGAGACUAGAGUUCUGGAGAGGGUCGUGGAGUUCCCGGUGUAGCGGUGAAAUGCGUAGAGAUCGGGAGGAACACCUGUGGCGAAAGCGGCUCACUGGACCACAACUGACGCUGAGGCGCGAAAGCAUGGGGAGCGAACAGG